AUGAACGCUGGCGGCGUGCUUAACACAUGCAAGUCGAACGAUUAACCCGCCCUCGGGCGGUUAUAGAGUGGCGAACGGGUGAGUAACACGUGACCAACCUGCCCCUUGCUCCGGGACAACCCAGGGAAACCUCGGCUAAUACCGGAUACUCCGCGCAGCCCGCAUGGGGGGCGCGGGAAAGCCCAGACGGCAAGGGAUGGGGUCGCGGCCCAUUAGGUAGACGGCGGGGUAACGGCCCACCGUGCCCGCGAUGGGUAGCCGGGUUGAGAGACCGAUCGGCCACAUUGGGACUGAGAUACGGCCCAGACUCCUACGGGAGGCAGCAGUGGGGAAUUUUGCGCAAUGGGGGAAACCCUGACGCAGCAACGCCGCGUGCGGGACGAAGGCCUUCGGGUUGUAAACCGCUUUCAGCAGGGAAUAUAGUGAAGGUACCUGCAGAAGAAGCUCCGGCUAACUACGUGCCAGCAGCCGCGGUAAUACGUAGGGAGCGAGCGUUAUCCGGAUUCAUUGGGCGUAAAGCGCGCGUAGGCGGCCCGUCAAGCGGGGUUUCAAAUCCAGGGGCUCAACCUCUGGCCGGACCCCGAACUGGCGGGCUCGAGUGCGGUAGAGGAAGGUGGAAUUCCCAGUGUAGCGGUGAAAUGCGCAGAUAUUGGGAAGAACACCGAUGGCGAAGGCAGCCUUCUGGGCCGCCACUGACGCUGAGGCGCGAAAGCUAGGGGAGCGAACAGGAUUAGAUACCCUGGUAGUCCACACCGUAAACGAUGAUUACUAGGUGUUGGAGGAUUGACCCCUUCAGUGCCGCAGUUAACACAAUAAGUAAUCCACCUGGGGAGUACGACCGCAAGGUUGAAACUCAAAGGAAUUGACGGGGGCCCGCACAAGCAGCGGAGCAUGUGGUUUAAUUCGAAGCAACGCGAAGAACCUUACCAGGGCUUGACAUGCAGGUGAAGCGGCGGAAACGCCGUGGCCGAGAGGAGCCUGCGCAGGUGGUGCAUGGCUGUCGUCAGCUCGUGUCGUGAGAUGUUGGGUUAAGUCCCGCAACGAGCGCAACCCCUGUUUCUAGUUGCCAGCAUGUAAAGAUGGGAACUCUAGAAAGACUGCCGUAGAUAAUACGGAGGAAGGUGGGGAUGACGUCAAAUCAUCAUGCCCUUUAUGUCUUGGGCUACACACGUACUACAAUGGGUGUCAACAAAGAGAAGCGAAACCGCGAGGUGGAGCGAACCUCAAAAACACACCCCCAGUUCAGAUUGCAGGCUGCAACCCGCCUGCAUGAAGUAGGAAUCGCUAGUAAUCGCGGAUCAGCAUGCCGCGGUGAAUACGUUCCCGGGCCUUGUACACACCGCCCGUCACACCACUCGAGUCGUCUGCACCCGAAGUCGCCGGCCGAACCCGCAAGGGGCGGAGGCGCCGAAGGUGUGGAGGGUAAGAGGGGUG
rnacentral:rRNA from 1 species